UAUGAUGAUUAUUUGUCUCAUGUUUACUGUUUUACACAUUAAUCAAUGGCUUGUUAACUUUUCUAAUUUUUAUUUUAAUUAAUAUUGUCAAUUUGUUUUUAACAGGGUUGGUGAGGCGAACUAAAGGUCCGAGAAAAAAAGCAAAGGAGAUUUGAAGGGGUGCAAAGCUUUUGGGCAGACGAAGAUGACUUGAUGUAUUUUUAGUUUAUUUACCUCCUUGGAUGGAUGAUGGACUUAUAUAACAUUUGAUUGUUGAACUUUAUAAUAUUUUCUAGAAGCUUGAACAAGAUAGAUCUUGUAAAAUUUGUUGAGAUCUUUAUAUUUGUUGAAUUAUGAGUUGAUCGAGUUCAAUUAUUACUCUUGUAUGUGAAAUUAAGAUGUGUUGAAUGUAUAUAAAUGUUAUUUGAA